rnacentral:rRNA from 1 species
GAUGAACGCUAGCUACAGGCUUAACACAUGCAAGUCGAGGGGAAACGAUAGAGAAAGCUUGCUUCUGAUAGGCGUCGACCGGCGCACGGGUGAGUAACGCGUAUCCAACCUGCCCAUCACUUGGGGAUAACCUUGUGAAAGUAAGACUAAUACCCAAUGACGUCUCUAGAAGACAUCUGAAAGAGAUUAAAGAUUUAUCGGUGAUGGAUGGGGAUGCGUCUGAUUAGCUUGUUGGCGGGGUAACGGCCCACCAAGGCGACGAUCAGUAGGGGUUCUGAGAGGAAGGUCCCCCCACAUUGGAACUGAGACACGGUCCAAACUCCUACGGGAGGCAGCAGUGAGGAAUAUUGGUCAAUGGACGAGAGUCUGAACCAGCCAAGUAGCGUGCAGGAUGACGGCCCUAUGGGUUGUAAACUGCUUUUAUAAGGGAAUAAAGUGGGAGUCGUGACUCUUUUUGCAUGUACCUUAUGAAUAAGGACCGGCUAAUUCCGUGCCAGCAG